GACGAACCGAGCGAACGUUGUUCGGAAUCACUGGGCUUAAAGGGCGCGUAGGCGGGCUGUCAAGUCUGGGGUGAAAUCCCGCGGCUCAACCGUGGAACUGCCUCAGAUACUGACGGUCUCGAGGGAGGUAGGGGCGAGCGGAACUGAUGGUGGAGCGGUGAAAUGCGUUGAUAUCAUCAGGAACUCCGGUGGCGAAGGCGGCAUCCUGGACCAACACUGACGCUGAGGAGCGAAAGCCAGGGGAGCAAACGGG
rnacentral:rRNA from 1 species